rnacentral:rRNA from 1 species
UGGGGAAUAUUGGACAAUGGGCGCAAGCCUGAUCCAGCCAUGCCGCGUGAGUGAUGAAGGCCCUAGGGUUGUAAAGCUCUUUCACCGGUGAAGAUAAUGACGGUAACCGGAGAAGAAGCCCCGGCUAACUUCGUGCCAGCAGCCGCGGUAAUACGAAGGGGGCUAGCGUUGUUCGGAUUUACUGGGCGUAAAGCGCACGUAGGCGGACUUUUAAGUCAGGGGUGAAAUCCCGGGGCUCAACCCCGGAACUGCCUUUGAUACUGGAAGUCUUGAGUAUGGUAGAGGUGAGUGGAAUUCCGAGUGUAGAGGUGAAAUUCGUAGAUAUUCGGAGGAACACCAGUGGCGAAGGCGGCUCACUGGACCAUUGCUGACGCUGAGGUGCGAAAGCGUGGGGAGCAAACAGG